rnacentral:rRNA from 1 species
UACGGAGGGUGCAAGCGUUAUCCGGAUUUACUGGGUUUAAAGGGUGCGUAGGUGGGUCUGUAAGUCAGUGGUGAAAUCCUUGAGCUCAACUCGAGAACUGCCAUUGAUACUAUCUGUCUUGAAUAUUGUGGAGGUAAGCGGAAUAUGUCAUGUAGCGGUGAAAUGCUUAGAUAUGACAUAGAACACCUAUUGCGAAGGCAGCUUACUACGCAUAUAUUGACGCUGAGGCACGAAGCGUGGGGAUCAAACAGG